rnacentral:lncRNA from 1 species
UUCACCUCUUGUUUUCCUUUCCACUAGAUCUAAUAUAAUAGGGAUUUGGCUGUUAUUUAAAUGUGGAUAAUUUUGAAAUUGUUUCAUAAUGUUCCACUGCUGUUUUAUGCUGUUUUGCCUAAUUGCUAGCUCAGAAAAUGUGUCUUACGCAAGGUGAAGUCAUCUUUCCUAUGUUCCUUCUCUACAGGAAAAAACCCCCUCAUCGGCUGAGCCUCAUGGCCAGACUGCCUCUGCCCGCAGUGCCAUAGAGACCACAGGAACCUGGGAGCACUGUCUGGGCAGCGGACCAUGGACGAAUCUCUGUUGUUUUAAUUGAUCUAUGACAUCGGGAUUAAAACGUAUCCUUUCAGAUCUCGGACCACAUUGCUGACUGUAGCUUGACAGCUCGGGAACAGGCAAGGAGCUUCUUAGCCCCAGA